UGACCGCCAAGUUUACUUUGAAAAAAUUAGAGUGCUCAAAGCAGGCGYGACGCCUGAAUAAUUGUGCAUGGAAUAAUGGAAUAGGACCUCGGUUCUAUUUUGUUGGUUUUCGGAACACGAGGUAAUGAUUAAGAGGGACAGACGGGGGCAUUCGUAUUGCGACGCUAGAGGUGAAAUUCUUGGACCGUCGCAAGACGAACUACUGCGAAAGCAUUUGCCAAGAAUGUUUCCAUUAAUCAAGAACGAAAGUUAGAGGUUCGAAGGCGAUCAGAUACCGCCCUAGUUCUAACCAUAAACGAUGYCAGCCRGCAAUCCGCCUGUGUUCCUCAAAUGACACGGCGGGCGGCUUCCGGGAAACCAAAGCUUUUGGGUUCCGGGGGAAGUAUGGUUGCAAAGCUGAAACUUAAAGGAAUUGACGGAAGGGCACCACCAGAAAUGGAGCCUGCGGCUUAAUUUGACUCAACACGGGGAAACUUACCCGGCCCGGACACAGGAAGGAUUGACAGAUUAAGAGCUCUUUCUUGAUUCUGUGGGUGGUGGUGCAUGGCCGUUCUUAGUUGGUGGGGCGACUUGUCUGGUUAAUUCCGAUAACGAACGAGACUCUAGCCUACUAAAUAGACGUUCCKAUCCUCYUGAGUSGGACGUUCUUCUUAGAGGGACAAGCGGCGUUUAGCCGCACGAGACAGAGCAAUAACAGGUCUGGGAUGCCCUUAGAUGUCCGGGGCCGCACGCGCGCUACAUUGAAGGAAUCAGCGUGUGCUUUCCCUGUCCGAAAGGACUGGGUAYCCCGUUGAACCUCYUUCGUGC
rnacentral:rRNA from 1 species